UGUGAUUUUCAGCUCCUUUUGAAUUUCAGUGAUAACUAUUAAAGGCUAAUUUUAUUUCAGGGAGUAAAGCAUCAGUGUAAACCCAUUAUUGAAGUGGUCAUGGCUACGGAAGCUAGCCUGCACUUGAUCUCCAGAUUAUGUUGGAGGUUACUAGCAGGAAAGAUUGUUAUCAUUCGAUCGCGUUUUGGUGGUUUAAAGAGGAUGUGCACAGGGAAGGCGGCUUUCGCUGGUGUGUGGUCAUAAUAUACUACUGGUGUUUCAGAUCUUCACAGUUUGAGCACUCAAAAAGCAAAGUACCAACAGGGGACGUUGUAUUCUUCAAAGGUAUGGUCCGUGAGGCAAUCAACAAUAAAUCAGCUGAUCAAAAGAGAGGAAAGACAAUCACGGUCUCUGAGUGGAUCAUCUCACGGUACAUCACUAAAAAGGUCAUGACCUAUUGACGUAUCAACUUUUUUACUUGUUGCAGAGUGAUCAGUUCUUUUGACUCACAUAAUAAUUUUAGAUGUGCAAAUGUAAUGCCGUAGCUUAUAUGCCUACCAUAAGUAUAUAUUACAGCUCAUCGCAAGUCACUUUUUCCUGAAUGUUUGUAUUAGCUUAUGUGAUCAAUAUGUAAUUAAUAAGUAUGUAUUGUUUAUAAUGGAAGUCAUGGAAUUAAAACGAAGCUCUUCUGAUGUACAAUUCAAAAUAAAUCUAUGGACUGAACACACGCCGGUACUAUAGGGGAAACACACCAUGAUUUUUUGAUAUUCUGUUUUGAUUUUGUUCGUGCAAGUGGAAAAGUACAAAUCUUGAUGAAACACCAUGUUUUUCUUUCAUACAAGUCGAUGGCAUGGCUUUGCACUUGGUAAACAAUCUACAUCUAUGGAUUAUAUGUCUAGAGGUGCUUGUUGUUUCACCACGGACAUGUUAUAUAAGCUAUAUAUUGUAAAGCUAAUAUUUAUCCUUCAAUAUAUAAUGGAAGUUUAUUUUGAUUUCUGUUUUCUGCAUCUUUGGUAAAUAUGCUAGCUCAAAAAGGGAGAUCUUAUUUUACCAAUGAUCACAUGGUAUGCGGUUGCCCAUUAUACCAAAAAUAGAUUGGGUUAGAAGUUUAUCUCUUCCAUUUCAUUCUGUAUACAAUGUUUUGUAGUACCCUCCUUGACUAGGGGUAGCUAAAGAAACCUAUUUGGCUGUAUACAUGAUGUGAUCUUCGCAAGAUAAUUUUUCAGAUUACUGAAUGUUCAUUGAUCUUUCUUUAUGCUUCCCGACUUCCCGCUGCUAUUUUCAAAGUCUGGAUGCUUAGUUUUUCAUUGUUGGUUUGGAGCAUUUAGGAAAACUUCUAUUUUUGCAGGCUAGGUGCAUAUGUAAUGGAUAUUCUGGCUCGAAUCUAUUAUUCAUGCCACAGUGGGGUGACCUUCUCUCGAUCCUCUAGCGUAAGCGCGGUGAAGUAGAAAAAUGGCGUGAAAUGGAGGAUGGCUUUAGUUUGUCAGUUUUUUCAUUCCGAUGUAAUUUAUUUAUCGACAGCUUCUUGGCCAAUAUAUUUCCAAAUUAAUACAUUAAGUGUUUUUAUUGUUUACAGGGGAACCUGGUUCUUUUCCUUGGCCCAACUUGUUGUGUUUGCUUAGCUGAUCAUAGCUCUGCAAAACUAGACCAAAUAUAGUUUGCAAGGUAGGGUGUAUUAGUGUAAUGCAAUUUUGUUGUCGAGGUAAUGGCUCAUACUACCAUGGCUUUAUGAAACGACUGCCUCUGUGGCAGUAGGAUGAAAUGCACCAGUAUGAAGCUGGGCCUAACCAUGUUGUAUGUUCUUUCUAGGAGAUCAAAACAUGCUUCUUUUUUGCCCUGCCUACAUCUUGAUGUGGGUAAUGCUACUUUUCUGGGGCCGUGAUAUUACUAUUAGACUAAGGAUCGUUUGGCAAAAAAUCAUAUCAGCCUUCUCUCUAAUAAAUAAACUUAAUAAUAUGUUAUAGCCUUCUCUCUAAUAAGUAAACUUAAUAAUAUGUUAUAGCGCAUCAUUACCAUAUAGAGCAAUGUGACUUGACAAGUGGAUGUUGUAAUUCCUGUUUGCAUAGAAUGGGAGUUGAGGGUUGAGUUGUGCAAUAUUUGGCUAUGGUUAUUCUAUUACAAGUGCAUAGAGAUGUGGAUCUGUAUUGAUUAGUAAUCUUCGAGUUCAUAAGGUGUUGUAAAACUGUGGUUCUCUUAUGAAUUAAGGUUUUUCACUGGUGCCUCGGCUACAAAAAGUUAUAUACUUUGAUCGAGACCAGGAAUUACUUUGGUAUGUCCUGCCAAGGCAUAAUAAUAGAGAAGGUGGUAAAACCUCACCCAUUCCUCAAUUAAUUUGUUCCUGCAGCUAAGGAAGAUGAUAGUGUUUGCUAUAUGUACGUAUAGAUCUCUAGGCACCCCUUUGGUUUAAAACUUAAAUUUACCCAAAAAGUUCUUCGAAAGAAUACAUGCUUCCCUUUUUAGUCAUCCUAUAUGUAGUUGCCAGCUAUUGCUUGAAUAAUGGAACAUGAUUCAUGCUGAUUAUUGUGACCAAGAAAGUGGGCAGAAAUGUUUUAUGUUAUUAGUUAUUGUUUAGUUUCAGCCUCAUUGUGGAGGAAGAUGUCGCGGCAAUGUGGAGACUAGGCGGACUGAAGUGGUCGUCGACUUGCCUCUAUUAGAUUUUUUUUACUAUUUAUGGCCUUAACAUGAAUUCAUAAGAGUGUUUUUAAUGGUAUUUCAUCAAACUUAUCAGUAUUUAUUUUGCAGCAGGUGUUACCUUCUCGACAAAGGGCAGAAAAGGAUAUUUAUGGCAUUAAUAUGAAUUUUUGUGGUGUAUAUGAAUCAUGACAUAUGAAGGAGCAAGGAUUGAGGACAUGUAGAUGCAACUUCUGGAGCAUCUUGUUGACGAAGGUUUCAUAACAUGGUAUUAAAGACGUAGAGGAACAGAGCCACUUAACGCCAUGUUGGUCUCCUGAAGGUCAUCUGAAACCCUUAUCUAUUUUCUUUCAAUCAGCUGGAAUCUAUUGCUAUUGUCUACCAUCCUAGGAAUCAAAACUUCACAAAAGUAAUAAGGUGGGUUGUACUUUAUCCGUGGGUUUCGUAUAAAAAGGAUACAUCUCAGAUUGUUAAACUUCUGGAAAAUUAUAUCUGAAGCAAUGCACCCUGUACCCUGUACCAUACCUAAUGCACCACUCAAUUUUGAACUUUACCCUUCACUUCUAGGACUACGUCAGUUUCUGUUCUUCUCCAUUUUCCUGAUGCCAACUUUUGUAGUGGCUGAGAUUGUUUGUAGUUACGAAUUUGACCAGAUUCUGGGAAUUGUUCCCUGUGAAAUCCCUGGCGGCAACGCCUGCACUAGAAUAAUAUCUUGAUCCUUGGGACUUUGUCUCCCUUGCCUGUACUGGAAUAAUAUCUUGAUCUUUGGGACUAUGUCUCCCUUGAAUGUUGCUUGUGCUUCCAAAGACAGCAUUUUGUCUGGGUUACCUAUUAACAUAGUUGAUGCAGUAUGCAAACAUCCUACAUAGUCAUGAGUUCUAGGAAGUUUCCUCUCCCUUGUGCAGUCAAAAAUUGCUGACAAGUCAUUCUUAUUAUGUCAGAGCUUUUCAUUACAAUAUAUCCUUGCUCGUUCUUUGUUCUCUUUGAUCAACCUUUUUACGGUUAUUGCUAGCGACCAAUUCUGAUUUGUAUUGGUUCAACAUAGUUUAUGAUUAAAUAUAUAAUUGCAAGGUCUUCGUUCUU